rnacentral:rRNA from 1 species
GACGAACGAGGGAGGAGGGAGGAAUACAUGCAAGUUGAGCGCUGAAGGUUGGUACUUGUACCAACUGGAUGAGCAGCGAACGGGUGAGUAACGCGUGGGGAAUCUGCCUUUGAGCGGGGGACAACAUUUGGAAACGAAUGCUAAUACCGCAUAAAAACUUUAAACACAAGUUUUAAGUUUGAAAGAUGCAAUUGCAUCACUCAAAGAUGAUCCCGCGUUGUAUUAGCUAGUUGGUGAGGUAAAGGCUCACCAAGGCGAUGAUACAUAGCCGACCUGAGAGGGUGAACAGCCACAUUGGGACUGAGACACGGCCCAAACUCCUACGGGAGGCAGCAGUAGGGAAUCUUCGGCAAUGGACGAAAGUCUGACCGAGCAACGCCGCGUGAGUGAAGAAGGUUUUCGGAUCGUAAAACUCUGUUGGUAGAGAAGAACGUUGGUGAGAGUGGAAAGCUCAUCAAGUGACGGUAACUACCCAGAAAGGGACGGCUAACUACGUG